rnacentral:lncRNA from 12 species
CCAAAGUGCAGUAGCACUGUGGGAGUUUGGGAACAAUCCCGAGAACUUGGCAGCCAGAGCAGACUCAAUGACCUUCGUGAAACUGACAGCUUACUCUGGCUGCUCAUUCCCCCUUCUCAGGCUUCUGUCUCUCUUUUGCUUGCAAAGCUAAAAAGGACAGCUUGGAAAUUUAUUGUCUUCACAGGAGACCCUCAGUCUUGGAUUCUUAUGGUCCCUAACACAACCAGGGAAAACUAUGCAGAUACUAAGACAGUUGAGAGUAACAAAGGAAGUCAUUGGACAGUUCUCGCCCUUUGUUACCCCACCAUCUGGAAAGUUGAAAAAAGGACUCAGAAGAGGAAGUGGAAGAGAGAGAGAAGCCUGACCUUGAAGCAGACCUAAAGUUCUUGGAAGAAAUGUGGGAAAACUUUCAAUGCAGAUAUGGAGUUGCAGUUUAAUGUUGAGUAGAGGCCAGAUUGCAGAAAAACAUAUAUUUGGCCUAAUUAUUUUAUUUAAAUCUUGCUGUAUAAUUAAAGUAUUAUAAAUCCAAUCAUUAACGUGUGGGAGUUCAUUGUUAACUCUUUAACACAUACACAUUUAUUUUUAAUUGUAAUUAAUUAGCCAGAAGAAGUAUGUGUAAAGGAUAAUGACAUGUAGUGGAGUGUUUUCAAGAAUUGUUAUGCUUAUUGCUUUGACUUGGAGGAAUACAAAGCAGAAUUGAAACAAAAAAAAAGGAAAACUUUUAGGUUUGGGAGUAUCCUCUUGAGUAAAGAGGCAAGUAAAAACCUUGUACUCAAUACGACAGGCUUCUUUCUUUUACUUUCUUAUUACUAAAAUUUUCCUCAUUAAUCGAGAUAAAAUAGUUGACUCAAUGAGAAAUAGGCUCCCACUCUUAAUGUGUUUGACUUAAGAGUUAAAGAGAUGAAUAUAUAUUCUGAUAUAUUGAUCUUAGAGCAUUUGGACCAAUGAGGGAUAACAGGUGGAGGUUAACAAGAUGAUGGAAGGCAGAUCCCUUGACAUAGGAAUAAAAGUGGUAAGGGACUGGGGGUGACA